GCCACCGUCUUCCUGUAUAUGUAUUUUUUAUGAAAUGUUUUGCUUGUUUUUGGAUUUUUUCCCGUUCGUUUUCCCCCAUCACUUUUGGAAUGGUCCUGUCGGUCCAUUUCAUAUAUCUGUACUGGUAUACGUUUAUAUAUAUACCGCUAUAGUCACAUGAAUAUUAAUUGUGCAUGUUGUCUACAACAGGCCGCCGCUCCGGCCAUUUACUGUUCGGGAUACUCCGGAUAAUCGAACCGAAAACGGUCACAUCCCAUGCAUGGCUAUUCUGGCUGCCCCCUUCUUUCGAGUCAUAUGACUGUUCUGGCUGUCCCUACUCCGAACAGUAAAUGGAACAGCCCGCAUGCAAUUCACUGACCAUUAACGUCAAUAACCGGCAAUUUUUGGUCCAAUCAUCUAUUCAUGACAUUACACUGACAAUGGUUAAUUUAAAAUGGUUGAGUGGAGAAACUAUACGCAUGUGACGAUAAACGUGGUCAUGGAUGAAUAAGUUGUAUUUCACAGAGUUUUCUCGCCGGCCACUUU